GGCGGAAAAUCCUCGGAAGAUGUGGCAUUACUACCGACGCCGGUACCUGCUGCAUUGAGAGCAGAGGCGCUGCCACUACCGCUGCCCCUUCGAGGGAACAUUGCCGGGUGCGCCAUCUUCCUAGCGCUAAUGUCUGCAGCGGCGGCGGCCGCGGCGGUGGACUCAGGCGGCUGGUGCAUUGUGUUGGGUACCGGGGGCGCGGAGGAGACGAGUGCAAUUUCCUUCUGCACCGUAAUCUUUGUAUUGGAGACGCCGGAGAGGAAAACGGGACCUGACGCUCCGCCUGGCGCGAUUCCUCCUUCUCCUCCUCCUCAGCCAAAGGCGCCGGUCGCUCCUGCCUUCGAGAGCGAGCUUCGGAAAGGAGGAUGAACGAGGCCGGCUCUUCCUCACCCCGCUGCUCCCGCGACCGGGCGGGAGAGGGCCGCAGGCGGCGGCGGCUCCUUUCUCCGCGGCGUUGGUGGCCAGACGGGCUGGUGCAGCGACUGCAGCCGACGCCGUUCAAAGGAACGAGUUGCUGCCAUGCGGUCCCCUCGCCCUUCCACGGGCAGGGGCGAGGCGGCCGGGCAGAUGUUGCAGCUGUUUCCAGUUAACUGCCUGAGCUCCUCUGGGCUAGGCUCUUCUCUAACGAGGAGUGGUUGCAAUCCAUCCUUAACUGGAGGACAGAAGCAGGCCGGCCCUGUAAUCGACUGACCUCAACAGGUGUCUCCAAGCAGCGACGCCUUUUUCGUUCAUCGUCCUGGCUAUAUCCCCCAUUGGUUUGACUCAGGAGGCAAGGUGGUCCGGACAUGUGAGCAACACAAAUGAUAAGAAUGCCUUUUAGGGCUAGAAAAGAAAAAGCCAUCCGAAAUUCCAGUUUUAAAAUACACACACACACACACGUUACAUUUCAUGGGUCCAAAUGUAGUUCUACAGAAGCAAUGUUAGGUUUGAUUGGGGGCAAUUUACUGGCGGUUACUUUCUUGGUAUUUCAUGUCAAAACCUAGUUCUAAGCGUUUCUUACCAAUAAUCGAGAAUGUAAGUCUUUCCCAGGAAUUUAAAAAUGAUAAAGCAAGCCGAAAAACUGUAGGGAGGAAUUUUCAUUUUGUUAAAUUUAGGUUGUUAGGGGAAUCAACGCUUAUGGUUAGACCUCUGAUUCAGGAAGUCUCAAGGAUUUACAUUCCUAUUUCAGAAGAUUGUUAAAGCAAAAACGAUUGUCAUUUGCAGUUUUGAUACACCUCUAGUUGUCAGUUCAACUUUUUACCUUUAGUUUUCUCUGAACUCUUCCCCUUGUUCCAAGGGGAAGCUUUCAAAAAGUGAAUUAUGUCACCAUUUGCAUGUUAUUGAAUAGAAGUGCACUCUUAACAUCCCAUUUAUCCAGUGUCAAAGCUAUGAUACAUUGUUGCUUUAUGUGGGGUCUCCCACACUGAAAAGAAAAACCCGGACUUCAUUUAUUUAUUUAUUUAUUUAUUUAUUUAUUUAUUACUUUAUAUUGCUAAUGUAAACCUCUGCUAGAAGUAAAUAGGCUCUCGCAAAUAUUCAAAGUGAUACAGUAAUAAACAUCAAAUAUGUUUGAGAAGACUACUUGUUCUAUGAUAUUAAUAUGUGAUUGGUUGUUUUUAUAGAACUAUGGCUAUUUGUGUUUUCACAAAAAUAAUUUCUUUUUUACUUUUUGAGCUUUUGUUGCAAGUAAUAUGCCUGGUUAAUCGCUGCCAUCCAUUGUUGAAAUGCAAAUUUGACAUUCUUUUUCAAUAGUUUUUGAAUGGAAAAUAGAAACUACCCUAACCGAUUGAAACUGCAAUGGAAUGUAGAUGGGUGGAAUGUCCUUUCUUUGGACUGCAGUAUGAAAGAAAAUGCUCUUGAUCUCUCAAAAUGUAGCCUUAAGUCAAAGGUUUUUUGUUUUGUUUUGUUUUGUUUUUUAAGUCAAAGUUUUAAAUUACCCCAAACAGCAGCUGUAUACCCUUUGGGCCACCUAAAUAACUCACCAUGAUUGUGCUGAUAUGCUUUGACGCUUAAUAAACACAUAUAUUAAAGUCUUACCCAAAGCUGAUAGAGUAAAAGAGCUGUUGAGAUAGCCCCUCUGGAAGCAGAUACUUGUUCUAAUGACCAGUAGCAAAGGGUACUGUUUGAGCUGUUUUGAUGGGGGAGGAAGGGUUGGGGUGUUAUUCCCUUUAAAAUAAAGGUUUAAAAAAAAAUCCAGAAUUUAAGACGUAAGAAAAUAAGAUCUUUUGAAGUGUAUUAAUUUUUGCCUGCCAUAUCACUUUCAAACUCCUGCUUAGGCUGCAUCAAGUCCCACUAAGAUAUAAAGAGCAAGUCAGCCGGGCGCGGUGGCUCGUGCCUAUAAUCCCAGCACUUUAGGAGGCUGAGGCGGGCGGAUCACGAGGUGAGGAGAUCAAGACCAUUCUGGCUAACGCAGUGAAACCCCAUCUCUACUAAAAAUACGAAAAAUUAGCUGGGCGUGGUGGCAGGUGCCUGUAGUCCCAGCUACGUGAGAAGCUGAGGCAGGGGAAUGUCGUGAACCUGGGAGGCGGAGCUUGCAGUGAGCCGAGAUCAGGCCACUACACUCCAGCCUGGGCGACAGAGCGAGACUCCGUCUCAAAAAAAUAAAAAUAAAAAAUAAAAAAUAAAAAGGGCAACUCUACAGUUAGGGAAAUCUGAGUUUCAAAAAUCUGGGUCUCUCCCCCUCCAAAAUUCUUACGACAGCAAUAUAUGAACACAAAUACGUUGAAACAAGGAGAAGGCACCUCAAGAGCCAGAUUUUGUUAUACUAUCAUCUUUUAAUUAAAAAGGUCUGGAUUUUUAUUAUAUAAACAUUAAAUGCCGACUGCUAUGUAUAAUAAAGUCAUUAAAUCCUUUAAACCAAGUAAAAAAAAAAAAAAAA
rnacentral:lncRNA from 1 species